GGGGACAAAGUGACAGGUGGUGCAUGGUUGUCGUCAGCUCGUGUCGUGAGAUGUUGGGUUAAGUCCCGCAACGAGCGCAACCCCUAUUAUUAGUUGCCAGCAUUCAGUUGGGCACUCUAAUGAGACUGCCGGUGACAAACCGGAGGAAGGUGGGGAUGACGUCAAAUCAGCAUGCCCCUUAUGACUUGGGCUACACACGUGCUACAAUGGAUGGUACAGCGAGUCGCAAACCCGCGAGGGCAAGCAAAUCUCUUAAAGCCAUUCUCAGUUCGGAUUGCAGGCUGCAACUCGCCUGCAUGAAGCCGGAAUCGCUAGUAAUCGUGGAUCAGCACGCCACGGUGAAUACGUUCCCGGGUCUUGUACACACCGCCCGUCACACCACGAGAGUUUGUAACACCCGAAGUCGGUGAGGUAACCUUUUAGGAGCCAGCCGCCGAAGGUGGGACAGAUGAUUGGGGUGAAGUCGUAACAAGGUAGCCGUAUCGGAAGGUGCGGCUGGAUCACCUCCUUUCUAAGGAA
rnacentral:rRNA from 1 species